rnacentral:rRNA from 1 species
UACGGGGGGGGCAAGCGUUGUUCGGAAUUACUGGGCGUAAAGGGCUCGUAGGUGGCCAACUAAGUCAGACGUGAAAUCCCUCGGCUUAACCGGGGAACUGCGUCUGAUACUGGAUGGCUUGAGUUUGGGAGAGGGACGCGGAAUUCCAGGUGUAGCGGUGAAAUGCGUAGAUAUCGGGAGGAACACCAAUUGCGAAGGCAGCUCGCUGGGACGUCACUGACGCUGAGACGCGAAAGCGUGGGGAGCAAACAGG